GCAUCUUGAUUUCAAGAUUAUGAUAUUUUGAAGGAGGGUUGGGUGGUUUAUAUUUUUAUUUAUUUCAAGGGAGGCUUCUACCUUCCUUAGCAGACACCUGUCUUUUUUUCAAACCAAGAAAAAUGUCCUUGUGCUGGUGUGGUGGAGAGAAGCAGUCACCACUGUGGGAGCUGGAGGAAAAAGGGUCAGAUUCAACUGCUCACAGUUAAAAGCAGCAACAUGGGUCUGAAUUGUUUUAUGCUCUGAAAAAAAGGCUUGUGAAAAGCUUUGGACUUGGCAGAACACAUCCAUAUUGCUUUCCUUAGUCCAACUGAUCUAGCUGAGAAUUUAAGGAAGUUGUGCAAGGAUCUCUAGCUUCACUGGCUUGUUGACCAGUAGCAUCUUGAAGUUUUCCUGGUCUUCCUCAUAUUACCACAUGACUUCUUCCCUCUGUACUAUAUUUCAUUUCUCCACUCCUGUUCAGAGCUGUAUAUUGAAUCACACUCUAAACCAAAACAUUGAAUUUGUCAGGAUUUACAAAAUUUCCCUUCUAUUUGUCAUUCCAAGAAGCUUUAUACCAUUGGAUGGCUCUGAUGCCUUAGGAUUUUAGCUUUUAUAUUUUUCAAAUUCUGUACUGCUUUAGGGUAUAACUCUAAAACUCCAUAGCUUGUCAUCUACUGUUCUCCCUGUCUAUUCAGAUAAAACAAUUCUUCUAGGCCUGUAACUCAAGGACACCCUACUGCCCCAGGGCCUGAAAAGUAUAAACAAAAAUGAAUUAGGGGAGGAACAAACUGGGGGUAUAUUAUUUCAUUACCUGAAGCUGUAAUUGGAGGAUUAAUCCCUGAUAUGUAAAUAGACCAAACUUAUAAUUGUCUAAAAAAUUCAUGACCGUUGUCCAUCUUGGGUGUAGCCCCUCUUCGGAGGCUUUUGACUGCCCAAGGUGUACCUAUUGAAGGCCUUUAAUAAAUACUCACUUUAUUCUCUUAAUCUUGUCUAGCCUCUGUUCUAGGUAGCCACUCCAAGGCAUCAGCUCAUGUAAAACGCUGUAUGCAAAAAUGAAAUGUCAAAAUGCUCCAGGAACCUGAGCCUGUGUUAACCACAUACACUAUUCACCUUCCCUUCAAGAAUCAGCACAGGAAUGCAUAACCCAAGUAACCAGAACAAGCAUCUGAGAACUCAUGUGUUUUUUGAUAUGUCUGAUGAGAAUGGAAAAGCUCUGCAUGUCCUCACUCAUGCUGUCAUAAGCAAGAGCAGCCAUCUCAGUUCUUGGAGAAGUUGUUCUGCUUAGCUGAAUUCCUUCGAGAGGAAAUUGAACCAAAACCUCUGUUCCAGAUACUGGAAAUUUACACCAGAAGGAAUGGACUCCACUUUCAUAACAUGCACUGCAGUGGAGCAUGAAUCAAUUCAAAGCACAAAAAGAGUGAAGGAAGAGUGGAAGAAAUAUCUAGAAUAAUUUCUCCCAUAUAAAGUUGUUCACUGGAUUGAGUAAAGACAAAUAGUUCUUGUAAAAAGGACAAGAAGGCUUUUGGAGUAUUACAGUGGUAUUAUAUUAAGUAACAUGCUAGGAAAAUGUGUGAUUUCACUUCUAUUUUCAUACAAUUAGUUUGCUACCCUCCUUUAGUGUGUCCCCCAUUGCCCAAAACCAGGCUGAAAACCUCACCCAGUUUUCAGCUAUGAACUCCUGAAGGAGGAAAAGGUGAAUUUGGUGACUUUGUGCUUUGAGCUCCUUCAGUAAGUGGCCUUCAACUGUUAGCCAAUACUCUCAAAGUUGUCUCUAGGCAGUGAUUCCUCCAUGUGCAUAAUGAUAGCAGAUUAUUUCCCUUUAGGUCAGUAGACUCCCAUAAAGACAGAGACAUUUUGGUGGUACUGAGUGUAUGCCAUGUGAUUUGUUUUGCUUUUUGUGUGAAGGCUUUGCUAUCUUUGGGCUUUCAAAGCUGACAAUGAGAGCUGACAGUAUGCUGCUGUUUUGGAAUGCACCAUUAA